GUGAGGAAUUUUGCGCAAUGGGGGAAUCCCUGACGCAGCAACGCCGCGUGAGUGAGGAAGGUCUUCGGAUCGUAAAGCUCUGUCAGGUGGGAAGAAGUGGAUAGCGGCAAAUAACCGUUUUCCUUGACGGUACCACCAGAGGAAGCACCGGCAAACUCCGUGCCAGCAGCCGCGGUAAUACGGGGGGUGCAAGCGUUGUUCGGAAUCAUUGGGCGUAAAGCGCGUGUAGGCGGCCGGGUAAGUCAGAUGUGAAAGCCCUGGGCUUAACCCAGGAAGUGCAUUUGAAACUGCCUGGCUCGAGUGAGAGAGAGGAAAGUGGAAUUCCUGGUGUAGAGGUGAAAUUCGUAGAUAUCAGGAGGAACACCGGUGGCGAAGGCGGCUUUCUGGUUCUUAACUGACGCUGAGACGCGAAAGCGUGGGUAGCAAACAGGAUUAGAAACCCUUGUAGUCC
rnacentral:rRNA from 1 species